AGUUUCAAGUUAUUAAUAUAUAUAUAUAUAUAUAUAUAUAUAUAUAUAUUUAUGAGUCGAAUUUAUGAGUAUGUCUAGUCGCGCCCUAGUUAGAUAGAUAAUUUUAAGUUUUUAGCAAAUAAAAACUCUUAUACUCAAAGAUUGGGCCAUAAAAAUAUAUUAGCAAUAAUCUCUAUAAUGGGCCUUAUGUAUUUAUUUAUGUUUCAUUGGGCUUGGUUUGAAUUAGAGCCUAUAAUUUUUAGCAAUUUCCUUCUUCAAACAGCAAUCACGUGUAUUUUAUUUUAAGCCACAAUUUGUUUCCAUUUUCAGCCACAAAUCUUAAUUCUUGGCAGUCAAGUUUUCCUCUUCAGCCAUUCAAAUUUUCCUCAAUUUUGUGCAGCCACAUUCGUUCCAUUUUUAUCUCUUCACUAAUUUUUAUCAUUUAUUUCAUGUUUAUCUUUCAAAAUCAAUUCACUUAUCUACUUCUUCGAUCAUUAUCUUCUACACCUUAACCGCCAUACUUUUGUAUUCAUUCACGGCUAUGUAUAUAGCCAUCAGAUUCAUCAGCCUCUAUCAUUUUUCACCUUCCUGUGAGACCUCAAACUUGCUCAGCACAUCUCUUCGAUCAUCUCCUUCUAUAGAGCUUCAGUUGGUGCGGCGCGACUAGGAAGUUACUUUUAUUUGAUUUACUCAAGUUAGCAUUCAAGUUGAAGUUCAAGUUCAAAGUCCAGGUUUUAAAGGCCGGAGGCGCGUGGAAGGUCGAAUGGCGAGUCAAAUAUCUUGUAUUUAGCUUUAACUAAAGAUGUUAUUUCGAAUAAAUAUUUUAAAUAAGAUAUUUAUUUCUUUAUUUUCACAUUAAAUAUCUAUUUAUAGUCAUGAUUUUUCCGCGUGCGUUUUCAUUUAAAAUUUAAAA